rnacentral:rRNA from 1 species
GACGAACGCUGGCGGCGUGCCUAAUACAUGCAAGUAGGACGCAGUUGCGAACGGGUGAUUAACGCGCAGGUAACUGCCUAUUAGAGGGGGAUAACUAUUGGAAACGAUAGCUCAUACCGCAUACUAGUAGAUUUACCUGCUUUGUAUUAGCUAGUAGGUAGGGUAAUGGCCUACCUAGGCGGAGAUACAUAGCCGGCCUGGGGGGGUGGUCGGGCACACCGGGAAUGAGACACGGCCCAGACUCCUAAGGGAGGCAGGAGGAGGGAAUCUUGGGCAAUGGGGGGAACCCUGACCGAGCAAAGGCGGGUGAGUGAAGAAGGUUUUCGGGUCGUAAAGCUCUGUUGUUAAGGAAGCGGUACUUAAACAGAAAGGGACGGCUAACUACGUGCCAGCAGCCGCGGUAAUAC